CCUACGGGAGGCAGCAGUGAGGAAUCUUGGUCAAUGGACGAGAGUCUGAACCAGCCAAGUAGCGUGAAGGAUGACUGCCCUAUGGGUUGUAAACUUCUUUUAUAUGGGAAUAAAAUGUUCCACGUGUGGGAUUUUGUAUGUACCAUAUGAAUAAGGAUCGGCUAACUCCGUGCCAGCAGCCGCGGUAAUACGGAGGAUCCGAGCGUUAUCCGGAUUUAUUGGGUUUAAAGGGAGCGUAGGUGGAUUGUUAAGUCAGUUGUGAAAGUUUGCGGCUCAACCGUAAAAUUGCAGUUGAAACUGGCAGUCUUGAGUACAGUAGAGGUGGGCGGAAUGCGUGGUGUAGCGGUGAAAUGCUUAGAUAUCACGAAGAACUCCGAUUGCGAAGGCAGUUCACUGGACUGCAACUGACACUGAGGCUCGAAAGUGUGGGUAUCAAACAGGAUUAGAUACCCUUGUAGUC
rnacentral:rRNA from 1 species